rnacentral:lncRNA from 1 species
UUUGUUUGGUGAACUUUUGUAAUGAACUUCUUUUAAGGAAAUGGAUUUCUUUGUUACCUUAUAUCUCUUUUAAUGAAAUGGACUUAUCUUUUGAUGUUCGUAUUGAAUGACUCUAUCUCGAUUGUAACAUUGUUGAUUGCUUGCAAGGCAAGGGUCCUUGGCCUGAGCCACAUUCUAUGAUCUUGGUAUUCAGGGUUGAUCCAGAGUCAUGUUACUGGUGAUCGGUACAAAGUCGUUUGAUGAAGUUAUUUUUGUUAAGGCAUCAUCUUC